UACGGAGGGUGCAAGCGUUAAUCGGAAUUACUGGGCGUAAAGCGCGCGUAGGCGGCUGGGUAAGUCGAUUGUGAAAUCCCCCGGGCUCAACCUGGGAAUUGCAGUCGAGACUGCCCGGCUAGAGUCCGGUAGGGGACCACGGAAUUCCUGGUGUAGCGGUGAAAUGCGCAGAUAUCAGGAGGAACACCAGUGGCGAAGGCGGCUCACUGGCCCGAUACUGACGCUGAGGCACGAAAGCGUGGGGAGCAAACAGG
rnacentral:rRNA from 1 species